AGUCAAUAGAUACCCGGGUAGUCCACGCCGUAAACGAUGUCGACUUGGAGGUUGUGCCCUUGAGGCGUGGCUUCCGGAGCUAAACGCGUUAAGUCGACCGCCUGGGGAGUACGGCCGCAAGGUUAAAACUCAAAUGAAUUGACGGGGGCCCGCACAAGCGGUGGAGCAUGUGGUUUAAUUCGAUGCAACGCGAAGAACCUUACCUACUCUUGACAUCCAGAGAACUUAGCAGAGAUGCUUUGGUGCCUUCGGGAACUCUGAGACAGGUGCUGCAUGGCUGUCGCCAGCUCGUGUUGUGAAAUGUUGGGUUAAGUCCCGCAACGAGCGCAACCCUUAUCCUUUGUUGCCAGCGGUUAGGCCGGGAACUCAAAGGAGACUGCCAGUGAUAAACUGGAGGAAGGUGGGGAUGACGUCAAGUCAUCAUGGCCCUUACGAGUAGGGCUACACACGUGCUACAAUGGCGCAUACAAAGAGAAGCGACCUCGCGAGAGCAAGCGGACCUCAUAAAGUGCGUCGUAGUCCGG
rnacentral:rRNA from 1 species